GGAGGAUGCGAGCGUUAUCCGGAUUUAUUGGGUUUAAAGGGUGCGUAGGCGGAUUGUCAAGUCAGCGGUCAAAAGUCGGGGCUCAACCCCGUGAAGCCGUUGAAACUGGCGGUCUUGAGUGAGCGAGAAGCAGGCGGAAUGCGUGGUGUAGCGGUGAAAUGCAUAGAUAUCACGCAGAACCCCGAUUGCGAAGGCAGCCUGCCGGCGCUCAACUGACGCUGAGGCACGAAAGUGCGGGGAUCGAACAGGAUUAGAUACCCUGGUAGUCCGCACGGUAAACGAUGGAUGCCCGCUGUUGGUCUGAACAGGUCAGCGGCCAAGCGAAAGCAUUAAGCAUCCCACCUGGGGAGU
rnacentral:rRNA from 1 species